rnacentral:rRNA from 1 species
CCGCGCCUACCAUGCAAGUCGAACGAUGAAGCCCAGCUUGCUGGGUGGAUUAGUGGCGAACGGGUGAGUAACACCUGAGCAACCUGCCCCUGACUCUGGGAUAACAGCCGGAAACGGUUGCUAAUACCGGAUAUGCAUCAUGGCCGCAUGGUCUGUGGUGGGAAACAUUUUUCGGUUGGGGAUGGGCUCGCGGCCUAUCAGCUUGUUGGUGAGGUAGUGGCUCACCAAGGCGUCGACGGGUAGCCGGCCUGAGAGGGUGACCGGCCACACUGGGACUGAGACACGGCCCAGACUCCUACGGGAGGCAGCAGUGGGGAAUAUUGCACAAUGGGCGGAAGCCUGAUGCAGCAACGCCGCGUGAGGGAUGACGGCCUUCGGGUUGUAAACCUCUUUUAGCAGGGAAGAAGCGAAAGUGACGGUACCUGCAGAAAAAGCGCCGGCUAACUACGUGCCAGCAGCCGCGGUAAUACGUAGGGCGCAAGCGUUAUCCGGAAUUAUUGGGCGUAAAGAGCUCGUAGGCGGUUUGUCCCGUCUGCUGUGAAAACCCGAGGCUCAACCUCGGGCCUGCAGUGGGUACGGGCAGACUAGAGUGCGGUAGGGGAGAUUGGAAUUCCUGGUGUAGCGGUGGAAUGCGCAUAUAUCAGGAGGAACACCAAUGGCGAAGGCAGAUCUCUGGGCCGUGACUGACCCUGAGGAGCGACAGGGUGGGGAGCAAACAGGCUUAGAUACCCUCGU